AGUGGUCAUGGUGUUUGCACGUGUCAACAAAAUCUGAUUAGCGGCCUUCAUCACCCAAUGACAGGGCGCCUUGCCAUCAGCAAUGACAAAUCAUCUUCGUGUCUUCAGGAACCCCCUUUCUUCAAGAAAUUAUAAGAACCUUUCUUCUCCCAAGAGGAGAUCUCAUGAAGAGUGAGAAGGACAGCAGAGAAGGUGUCUUGUAGAAACAGCUAUCAUGAAGUUUUCUCUGGUCGCUGCCCUUGUGGUGAUUUUGGCCCUGGCACAUGGCAAGAGUGGAUUCCGAUGUGAAUCUGUGUCUCUGGUGAAACGGGAUGCUCACAUGGAGGUUGACACUCUAAUAAAGUACGUCCAGGACUUAUCCUCUCUAGUGACCAAGACCACCCAGGGGCUUGUAGAGAGAGCAAAGACUCACGAGCUGACUGGCAAGGCCAAGUAAGUCUCUAACACCAAAUCCAUGUGUGGUUCUUUCUCUUGCUAUCAUAUUGUCAUUACUUCUAACACUUUUCUCUCCAAGGCUCUACUGUAACCUGGCAUAAUGCACAUAUGUGGCGAUGUCACACUCUCUUAAUGUUUCUGGA